rnacentral:lncRNA from 1 species
UCCCAGUCUUCAAGGAGUUGGAAGAGUUGAGAAAUAGUCAUAGGAGAUUAUUACCAAUGAUACCUUUAAUUUAUAUGAUGCUUUAAAAUUUUCAAAGCACUUUCAUGUAUUUUUUGUGUGAUCCGUGAGACAAUAUUGUACAAAUUAAAAUAUAUACAGAUGCAAUAAUAUUAAUAGUGAGCAUUUAUUAAAUGCACUGUCCUCAGAUCUUUACAUGUAUAAUCUCAUUUCUUUCAUACAAUUACCCUACUAUUCCCAUCUGAUGGAUAAGAAAACUGAAAAAGAGAAAACUAGCCCAAUGUUGCAUGGCCUUAAGUGGCAUAGCUAGGAUUUGAACCGAGUCUGUCUGACUCCAGAGCUUCAGCUGCUAACUACUCCGUAGUUAGUUGCUGCCCUAAAACGUAUAAUAUUGGGUAGUUACAACCAUUCAACAGCAGGACAGUAUGUGUGACAAACCUUGACUACGUCAAUGAUGGUACGUGGGCUGCCUUUCAUAUUUAGCCCAAGGUGAAAAAUUGUCCCUAACACUUGACUCCCUAGUGGCGGAAAAGGCAGCUGAGACCCAGCAGUUAUUUCUGUGUAUUGUUUAUUCUCCUUGCUGACGGGCCAGCACGUAUCCAAACAAUCCACCUAGCAUUCCUCACCCCAUCCCCAGCUUUGGGGAAGAGUCACAGUUACAGGUAGAGACUGAAAGGAAACACACAGUUAAUUCUGGCUUAUUUGUUUAAUCAGAGGCUCCAACACUGCAGGAUCCAAUCACUUCUGAGGGGCCCAGAAGGCAGCAGCACAGUUUAUAUUCACAUAGCUCCUCAAAGGCUUCCAACGGGGGCUGCAAGAAGGUGCUAGAAAUAUCCAGGGGCCCCCAGUUGGUUGCCUAUAGCUCACCCUCUGGAGAAGGGAAAAAGGGAAAAACGCUGAUACUGCUGCCACAUCCUCCCCCACCCCUACCAUGUCCUCCUCUCUGCCCUCUUCCCCCAAAAUGAUUUCACAUGACCCCAACUCAAAUCCACCCCGCAGCACACAUAGUACAGGCAAACGUGCAAAACUCCCCUCUUCCUUAGGCUCCAGCCCAGAAAGUUUGUGAGUUGGCAGACUGCUUGUUAGGAUCUGAAGGAUGAAGAUGAGGUCAGAGGUGGUGUGCAGAACCAGUUCAAUCCGGGAGGGUUUUCCUUUGGUCUUCGUGCCAUGAAGAAGGACUCAGAGUAACUAUUCGCAACGUGGAACAGGAGAGGGGUCUUGCCUCACCGAGUGAGUUGGGGCAGAGCUGAACAGAUGGGGAUGAUAAGAUUGCUGCCAUCCUUCCAAAGAAAACGGUCGAAAACCAGAACUAGGUGAGGACAACCUCAUGGGACCUCAUAGAACAAGCGACCAGGUCUUCUGCUUGUCUGGUAACGUAGGUACGCGUGCUGGGAACUCCAUUCACUGUGACCCAAAGUUAAAUGAUCCCAAAGAGAAAAGCUGCCUGGGACUUGUUUGAGAUGGUGGGACUGAACUUCCUGUGCGUUUGUCCAGAGACUUCAGAGAGCUGGUAGGCAACAUCAGCUCUGUUCCCCUUAACAAACCAUCAGCUUCCUUCUCCUCGUCCCUCCCCCAAACAGGGACUGUUAUUUAAUUAUACGUUUUGUUUGCAGAUAUCACUGCUGAGCUAUACUUGGAGCGCUCAUCCUGGAUCUGACCUGCUUUGCCAUCUCCCGCUUGGACUUUUGUGAUAGAGUCUUUGGGGAAAAAAUAUUAUACUUUUAUUGUAAUUAUUAUGAAAGCCUCACAUGUGUAUUGUAGAAAUAUUAGGGGGAAAAAAAGAUAAAUUCCGCCCCAUAAUCCUACUACCGGAGACAGAUAUUGUUAUCCUUAUGGAUGUAUCUUUUGGUUGUUUUGGGUAUAAAUGUACACAUGCACAUGCAUUUUUUUAAACAAAGAUUGGAUCAUACUGUACAUACUCUUUAAUAACUCACUUUUCAAAAUGUGUAUUUAUAUUGUAGAAUACAUAAUGCAUACACAGGUACAAAAUUCAAGAAUUACAAAAAGAUUUGGAGUCAGAAGUAACUCUCUUUCCUGCCCUGUCUGCCAGCCUCUAGUUUCUCUCCAGCUACUUGUAUACCCUUUCAGAGACAGUUACGCAUUUUCAAAUGUAUGUACCUAUUUUGUCACAAAUGGUAGCACAUGGGACACGCUUUUUGCACCUUCUGCUACUUCACCCACUAUAACACGAACGUAACAUUUUUUGCUGGUCUCCCAAACUGUUUCGACAGCAUCCUCAUUAUGUGGGUGGACCCUCAUUUGGUAACCAAUCUUCCAAUAGUGAUUAUCUCAUGCGUUCCCAGUCUUUAUUGUAAAUAAUAUUGCAACAGACAUUCUUGUAGCUAAAUUUUGCACAUAUCUAGGACUAUUUCCUGAGGAUAAAAUCUGAGAAGGAUGUCGUUUGGCUAUCUUUAAGAAUUUUGAUAUAUUUUACCAACUGCCCUCCAGAGAGUUUGUACCAAAGCACUCUUCUAUUUGCAGGCUUGAGAGUGCCCUGUUCCCUGCACCCUCACUACAGGUGGGUAUUAUCACUUACCAAAUCUUUACCAAUUUGAGAGGAAAAUAAUAGUAUAUCAAUGUUAUAUGAACUCACAAUUCUUUAUUAGUGAAGAGCAUCUUCAUAUGCUUAUUGACCAUUUGUACCUCCUUCUUUGUGAUUUUUCUAUUUAUUUGAUAUUGGUAUGUUUAUUAUCAAUAUGUAAUUUUAUUAAGAGUAUUAUUUUGGGCAAGAAACACUGCCAAGUAUGCUUUCCAAGUGCUUUGUUUUCAAAUUUUGUUUAUGGUGCUUUUUGACAUACAUAAAUUCUUAAUUCUGCAAUU